rnacentral:lncRNA from 13 species
UUCCCAUUCACCUGCAGCAUAGCGUCUGCCCCAAACCACAUUUCCCAGCUAACCAGGGAAAACCAGAAAUCCCUUAAAUUAGUUGGAGCAGUGCCACAUCCUGCCCACGGGACAGCCUUUCAUACUCUUACUGUUUCAGUCUAAAGUAUCUGCAUUUGGAUUACUUCACCAAAAUCCAACAUUACAGCAUCAGCAAGGAAGAGAGACUAUAAAUGGUGACUGUGAACAACUAGUAAUCACCAAACCAAUCCCUGCCUUCACGCAAAACAGUUUCCUCUUAUGAUAAAUUGGUAGUGCAAUCUUGAGAACAAUGCAGAACAGUUUUUUUUUUUUUCAAGUUUUUGACUUAUCAUUUUGUUCUUGCUUCCAGCCAGCAGGUAUUCAAAAUCCUUUGGUCCUAUCACUGAUGGUCCUGGCCUUAGGGAGCCUAUAGUUUUGCUAAACAAACAGGUUAUCACUGAAGAGGAGAAUCUUCAUUAGCAUCUGCAUACCUGAGAGAAGGAUGUUUUCAAGAUUCAGAGAAGAACUGAAGUAAAGAAUGAAUGAAAAACUUUUUCUUCCAGAGGAGCUAUUGGCAUAGUGGAGAGAGCGAUGUGCCACCAGUGCAAAGGAGAGACAAUAGGACUGAGCCAUCAUGGAGAUCACGAACCACCUUGCAAGACAGAAAAGAAAGUGUCCUUUCCAAUGUGAUCAGUCUUAAAAACUAUCCUCAGGUGAAUAUUCAAAUAUUCUGUUGAUUCCAUUGAGGAACAAAUAAUAACCUUUCUCCAAGGUGAGACAAUUUCUAAACUUUGAUUUUUCAACUUCAGAUGAAACUUGAACCUUGAAACUUGAAAGGUUGUCAUUCUUUCUCUAGGGACAGGAAAUGAGGUGAAGAAGUUUUAAAAAUAUUUUUUACAAAAAAAUUUUAGACAUUAGAAAUAUUUUUUUAAACAAUAUUUUGAUGACUUAAAUGCAAGUGAAUUAGAAGCUUUCAGUUUGAAAAAUUUUUCAAUUUCAAAAACUAAAUAUAAAAUAUAAUUUGGAAUAUGGGAGAAAAGAUAAUAUAGGUUAGAGUAGACAGAAAUGAUUCAGAUAUAACUUGCAGUGUAUUUUGUAUUUUUCCAUGUGCUGUCCUUUUAUUUUUCAGGAAUCAUUAUUUGCUUUUUUUCUUCAAUUUACAAUAAAGUACUUUGUGGCCAGCUGCGUUAGCUCA